rnacentral:lncRNA from 1 species
AGAGGGUAUCAGGUUCCCUGGAAACUGGAGUUCCAGGUGGUUGUAAGCCACCACAUGGGUGCUGAGAAUCGAACUUCUCUCUCUUGUAUGGUCAGCAAAUGUUCUUAAUUGCUGAGCCAUGAGAUAUAACUUCCGAAAAAGUAAAAUAUACUUUGCUAAUUGCACACUCUGAAAAUGUUGACAAAGACAUUCCGAUGUAUACCUUCUCCUAUCACAAUCCAGGUAAGGAUUAUUUUUACUGCCCCAACAUAUGCAUUUGUGACUCUACCCAGGCGGUUCCUUUCAUCUUUCUUGGCUCAGGAAUCCAGGGUACUCAGCCACAUUUUAUAUGUAAAGAGUUCAUCAAAAAUAGAAUUAUACAAUGCGUUCUUCCCGUAUAUCUGGAUUAUUUUGGCCUGGAGCCAUCCCAAUGGAUACGGUUUUCAUUUAUGUUAACCUAUGACAGCUGAUACUGAACAGUUUAUGAUAUUGGCUCCUUUUCAUCUUUUCUGUGAUUUAUCUGUUCAGAUGUCUGUCCAAUUGUCAUCAUGUUAUUUCUUUCAAAUUAUAGAAUUGUAACAGUUCACUAUAUGUUUGGGUGCUGGUCCAUUUUUACAGCUAUGUGGUAUGAACAUUUUCACUCAUGUGUAUCACUUUUAUUAUCUUAAGCAGCUUGGUUGUGAUGGACUCAUUUUUUAUAAUACUAAAGAUUUAUUUAUUUUAUUUAUAUGAGUACACUGUAGCUGUCUUCAGACACACCAGAAGAGGGCAUUCGAUCCCAUUACAGAUGGAUGUGAGCCACCAUGUGGUUGUUGAGAAUUGAACUCAGAACCUGUGGAAGAGCAGUCAGUGCUCUUAACCACUG